CCUACGGGAGGCAGCAGUCGGGAAUAUUGCGCAAUGGAGGAAACUCUGACGCAGUGACGCCGCGUAUAGGAAGAAGGUUUUCGGAUUGUAAACUAUUGUCGUUAGGGAAGAUAAAAGACAGUACCUAAGGAGGAAGCUCCGGCUAACUACGUGCCAGCAGCCGCGGUAAUACAUAGGGAGCAAGCGUUAUCCGGAAUUAUUGGGUGUAAAGGGUGCGUAGACGGGA
rnacentral:rRNA from 1 species